rnacentral:tRNA from 1 species
GCAGUGGUGGUUCACUGGUAGAAUUCUUGACUUCCAUGCGGGAGAUCUGGGUUUCACUCCUGGCCAAAGCA